GCCAGCAGCCGCGGUAAUACAGAGGUGGCAAGCGUUGUUCGGAAUUACUGGGCGUAAAGGGCGCGUAGGCGGCCUUGUCAGUCAGACGUGAAAUCCCCAGGCUUAACUUGGGAACUGCGUCUGAUACUACAAGGCUUGAGUGCGGGAGAGGGAUGUGGAAUUCCAGGUGUAGCGGUGAAAUGCGUAGAUAUCUGGAGGAACACCGGUGGCGAAGGCGGCAUCCUGGACCGACACUGACGCUGAGGCGCGAAAGCUAGGGGAGCAAACGGGAUUAGAUACCCCGGUAGUCCUAGCCCUAAACGAUGAGUGCUUGGUGUGGCGGGUAUCGAUCCCUGCCGUGCCGAAGCUAACGCAUUAAGUAUUCCGCCUGGGGAGUACGGUCGCAAGGCUGAAACUCAAAUGAAUUGACGGGGGCCCGCACAAGAA
rnacentral:rRNA from 1 species